UUCNGUAGGUGAACCUGCGGAAGGAUCAUUA
rnacentral:rRNA from 1 species